CCAAAAAGUAAUUGAGCUACUGAAGCUAUUUAGAAGAAGAGCCUCUGAUUGCAUUGAAGCAGCAGCCAGCUCUGACUACAAAGACAUCUCAGUUUCACUGUGCUGGCAGCAGGUCUGUGGCUGAUUUAGGAGAGGGCUUUGAGAUCAUUUCUAUCCAUCCUUCAAAUCAGCAGUGUCUGCCUGGAGGAGGUUCCUGGUGAAGUUAUUUUUAACUUCUGUCAUGUCCUAAUCAAUUUUUCAAACAUUCUUUACAGCUUAGACCAUGCUCAGCCUCCAAGCAGCCUUGUCAUCGACAAAGAAUCUGAAGUUUACAAGAUGCUUCAGGAGAAACAGGAGUUGAAUGAGCCCCCGAAACAGUCCACGUCUUUCUUGGUUUUGCAGGAAAUCCUGGAGUCUGAAGAAAAAGGGGAUCCCAACAAGCCCUCAGGAUUCAGAAGUGUUAAAGCUCCUGUCACUAA
rnacentral:lncRNA from 1 species